UACGAUGUAAACGAUCUCCGUCAAUGAACGCGAUUGGAUUUAACUUUUUUAGGUGUCCUUAGCUCUGCCAGAAUGCUAAACGAAGACGAAAAUGUGUUGCAAAGACAUCCAAAAGGUAAUUAUAACGUACUACAUUACUUUGCAAACUAUAUGGAAACACCAAAUGUAGCACAUAGAAGGUUUUAUUUGAAAUGAUUAUAAAACUAUUUCACUUAUUAACAUUAUUUUACUAUAGUAAACUUUAUUAUAAAAUACCGCUUACAUACUAUAUUACUGUGCAAACUAUAUGGAAACACCAAAUGUAGCACAUAGAAAGUAUUUGUUGAAAUGAUUAUAAAACUAUUUCACUUAUUAACAUUAUUUUACUAUAGUAAACUUUAUUAUAAAAGACUGUUACAUACUAUAUUACUGUGCAAACUAUAUGGAAACACCAAAUGUAGCACAAAGAAAGUAUUAAUUGAAAUGAAUGUUCUACAUUAUUUCACUAUGGUAAACUUUUUUAUGAAAGACUGCUUACUAAUAAGUGCUAUGUUUUUACUUAUUAGGUUUUAAGGAGAAUGCAACAUGUUCCAGGGCCUCUUACCUGCGUGAUUCAUCAUCCAGGUUUUGCACAAAUUGUCUAAAUCCCUACACAUAGAACAUUUAUUGUACCGACUAUAAGCCUUUGAGGUGCAGGACUACAAUACGCUUGGAGCUUCCUGAUCAGAUCGGUCACAAUUUUGGCUUUCGACGACCCCUGCACUGAAGAUGGCAUGCAAUCACGUCCUCCUUUGAAGGUCUCUCAAACUGUGAUGCCAGGUCCAUUGGAAUCGGGGUUUCCUUCAGCUUAUCUUCAAAUACCUCAUCAAACACAAGCCUGAUCACAUCAUCCACAUAACUGUAGAAAUAUUGCAGUCAAUAAAUCUUUUGUUUUGAUCAUUUAUUUCCCUGCUUCAUACAUUAAGUUUUUAAUUAUGAAUGUAUUUGAAAUAAAACAUUACUGCUUA